GUGCUUACUUUGGCAGCACAUAUACUAAAAUUGGAAUGAUACAGAGAAGAUUAGCAUGGCCCCUGUGCAUGUUGAUUGUUUUACAAAAAUAACUCAGAGGAGUU
ensembl:snRNA U6 U6 spliceosomal RNA